UUAGCCAUCACUCUCUCUCUCUCUCUCUCUUAAUUUUCUUUUGCUCUCUCUCCCUCUUCCAAUCUCUUCUUCUGUCUGCCAUACAUACAUGGAAAACAAAGAGGUUGAGGGGAAUGUUGUCUGGUUCGAAAUCAUUCAUCAUCUGAAAUAUGGUACAGCAGGAUAAAAAAUGAUUUCGGACCAGGCUUCAUUCCCCUCAGCUAUUAUAGUCGGAUUCGUAUUAUCUUCUUCUUCAUUUCAAGUGUAUAAAAAAAUGGUCUCUUCAGGUAAAAUUCAAGAUUGAAGAAGGAUUACACAAAAAGGGUAUGCACUACUAUGCAUAUAUAUGAAGGAUAAAUUGGUAAUUGCAAAGCUUCCAGUUGAGAUUGUUGCAUGAUGGAAUAAUGAAGGGCAUUUUGGAUACUUUGGCAUCAUCUUUGCAGGAAUGGCAGCAAAAUCAGGAACAUCUAGUGAUGAUCCUCAAAGAAAUCAUAAUGAGUGGUGGAGUUCUCAGCAUCAUUUGAAACAAAAUUUGUUUCCUUUCCUUUGUCAUCCUUUUUCAAAGAUGCCUGGUAAAGAUCGACUAGGUGCCUUGGGGUACGACAGGAAAGAAGAGUGAACAAGUUAUCAGAGAAAAGAGAAGUACAGAGAAAACAGUGAAGCUAUGAAGAAGAAAAAGGCUAGCUUGAUGAUGGCCUUAGCAAAAGGAAGAUUCGAAACAUGGUGUGGCUAAGAUCUUUGCCAUUGAAGGCAAGAUUUCAAGAAGAAGCUUCAAGAUUUCCAUGCCAAGAAUAGGAAAGAUCCAUCUCGGUCAGAGAAGAAGAUCUCAAUGGGUAAAGCUCAUUUCCAUUUUUAUUCAUCUAAGACAGAAGGUAGCUACUGGAGCUACGUGGAGGAAGAAGCAAAUAUGGAAAAGAAGAAGCUGUCAAAGAUCAGAGGUUCAUCAAGGGUCAGUGUUCUUUCUUGAAGCCAAAGUCAAGAUCAAGGGCUCAGAUUGAAGAAGCUUGAUGAGAAGGGUUGAAAGAGGUACAUGCAUGUUGAUUUGGCUUCGGUUUUCCCUCUCUCUUCUCUCUGUCCGAAUUGCCAUAGUUUGUUGGAGAAGAUGUUGGUGGUUUAGUUGAACCGGUUUAAACCUUGGAAAUUUCCCCUUCUAUAAUAAGAGUGAACGGCCAAGGGUUGAAGCAAAGAGAGAAAGCACAGAGUUCUCAUAGCUAUCCUAAGCUAACAGAGUUCUUUUCCUUUAAUGAGUUUCAUUUUAUUUUUCUUUUCUUUAGUUUUGUCUGUCUGAGUCUCAUGGUAAAAGGCAAACAGAGUGAGGUUUAUAAGAAAAAGUCAGUGAGAGAAAAAAGACAGAGAGAGCAAAAUUAAAGAAAAUGCCAUAGAUUUCUAAGAGUUUCUUUGUGCAUCUGUUUGUUGUGUUUCAUGAUCCUAUAGGAAUUUUCUUGCAAGUUGGGUUAGCACUUUGAAGUUAAAAGCUUGGUAGGUGUCCAAGUCAAGUUCAGAUUUAGGGAUAAAAUCUAGAUUUGUCCCAUAUAGGAAUGGGUAGUUCCUAGGAAAGAAUUGGUGUAUGUAAUCUAAGGAUUAUAGUGAAAUUCCGUCACAAUUGUCAUGGAGACUGGAUGUAGGCUGCAUUGCACUUAACAGCUGAACUAGGAUACUUUUGGGUAUGAUUCUCUCUUUCUCUUCUACUCCUAUUCUAUUUCUGUUGCGAAGGAGACAAAACUAAAAAACAUCUUCU